rnacentral:rRNA from 1 species
CAAGUCGAACGAAUCCCCGGGAGCUUGCUCUCGGGGGAAAGUGGCGAACGGGGCAGUAAGGCGUGGGUAACCUACCCCAGGGAUCGGGAUAGCCACCCUAACGGGUGGGUAAUACCGGGCGAGGUGGUCCGAGGGCAUCCUCGGGACACGAAAGGAAUUUCGCCUUGGGAGGGGCUCACGUGGUAUUAGCUUGUUGGUGGGGUAACGGCCCACCAAGGCCAAGAUGCCUAGCGGGUGUGCGAGCACGACCCGCGCCACUGGCGCUGCGACACUGGCCAGACUCCUACGGGAGGCUGCAGUCGAGGAUCUUCGGCAAUGGGCGCAAGCCUGACCGAGCGACGCCGCGUGUGCGAUGAAGGCCUUCGGGUUGUAAAGCACUGUCGAGGGGAAGGAAAGCCCGCAAGGGUCUGACCUACCCCUGGAGGAAGCACGGGCUAAGUUCGUGCCAGCAGCCGCGGUAAGACGAACCGUGCGAACGUUGUUCGGAUUCACUGGGCUUAAAGGGCGCGUAGGCGGGCGAUCCAGUCGGGGGUGAAAGUUUUCGGCUCAACCGGAAAAGGGCCUCUGAUACGGGUCGUCUCGAGGGAGGUAGGGGCAUGCGGAACUUCCGGUGGAGCGGUGAAAUGCGUAGAUAUCGGAAGGAACGCCGGUGGCGAAAGCGGCGUGCUGGACCUCUUCUGACGCUGAGGCGCGAAAGCCAGGGGAGCGAACGGGAUUAGAUACCCCGGUAGUCCUGGCCCUAAACGAUGGGUACUAGGUAGUGGACUUGACAUGGGUUCACUGCCGAAGCCAAAGUGUUAAGUACCCCGCCU